UUGUAUAUAGCUCAGUAGUAGAGCAUUUGCCUACCACACACAAGGUCAUGGGUUCAAUCCUCAUCACAGAAA
rnacentral:tRNA from 1 species